rfam:Perkinsus marinus ATCC 50983 gcontig_1104296693174, whole genome shotgun sequence.
GUCACUUUAGCUUAGUGGCAGAGCGUCGGCUCUAUGAGCAGGAGGUCGCCAGUCCAAUCCUGGCAAGUGGCU